CCUACGGGUGGCAGCAGUGGGGAAUAUUGGACAAUAGGGGCAACCCUGAUCCAGCCAUGCCGCGUGUGUGAAGAAGGCCCUCGGGUUGUAAAGCACUUUCAGUGAGGAAGAACGCCUGGUGGUUAAUACCCAUCAGGAAAGACAUCACUCACAGAAGAAGCACCGGCUAACUCCGUGCCAGCAGCCGCGGUAAUACGGAGGGUGCGAGCGUUAAUCGGAAUUACUGGGCGUAAAGCGCGCGUAGGUGGCUUGAUAAGCCGGUUGUGAAAGCCCCGGGCUCAACCUGGGAACGGCAUCCGGAACUGUCAAGCUAGAGUGCAGGAGAGGAAGGUAGAAUUCCCGGUGUAGCGGUGAAAUGCGUAGAGAUCGGGAGGAAUACCAGUGGCGAAGGCGGCCUUCUGGACUGACACUGACACUGAGGUGCGAAAGCGUGGGUAGCAAACAGGAUUAGAUACCCGUGUAGUC
rnacentral:rRNA from 1 species